CCCGGCCUGCAGAUAUGACUUCCAAAUUGCAAUGAAUAGAUGAGAGGCUCCUGUUCCUCCCAGCCCCGGGGAGGAAGAUAAGAAUAAUAUCCUGGCAAAAUAUUGUUUCUCAGCCCUGGUUCUUGCCAACAGGACCUUCCUACCCGGGAAAGAGACAGGACAGCAAAGCACGCAUGGACUGAGGCUCCUUCCGAAGCAAGAAGGUCUCAACACACACCACCCAGGUACCAGAAGCAGAAGCGCGUCCGGUGGCCCCAUCAACGUGGCUUUUCCAUCUGCAGUCAACCCUGCAGACCUGUGGCCCCCCCUUCUUGGCAUCUUUCUGAGGGUCGUGGAUAUACUUGCUAUGAUGAAGGGAUGGGUACCCUGGCACCUAGGGACAGAGAUCGAGAGCCAGCAUGAUCGCUUUCCUCUUUUGCUUGAACUGGUCGAUGACUUGUUAUUAUUUAUCUGUUUAUUUUCAUUUAUUUUUAUUUUAUGUUCAUUGGUGUUUUGCCUGCAUGUGAGUCUGUGAGAGGCAGUCAGAAGCCCUGGAACUAGAGUUACAGAUAGGUGUGAGAUGCCACACGGGUGCUGGGAAUUGAACCUUGGUCCUCUGGAAGAGUAGCCGGUACCUUUAACCACUGGGCUACCUCUCUAGCCCCCUGUAAUUUAUUUUUAAUCUAGCAGUUUCACUGAGUCUUGGGUUUUUGCCAUUACUUUGUUUUACUAUCUUUACUUAGUUGGUUUUGGAAUGAUCUGCUGAUUGGUGACAUGUGAGGAGCGGGUGUGGCAGCAGUCCCAAGAAGGCACCAGGGACUGCAGCUAAGUCUUAUGACUUGCACCUGACUUCCUCAUACACCUGAAAAUAAGCCACAACCAUCGUGAGAGCUGCGCAGGUGAACCAGGAUACUGGCGAAUCCAUUUUGGUGGAGACAUGCCCCUGCUGCCCUGAUUGGCUGAAGCUGUGUGCCUGGUGAGGUGACGUGGCCUGCCGUGAGUGGAUGAGGGCUGAGAGUAUAUAAGAGUGAGAGGCCCGGGUUAGGAAGAAAGAUGAGAAAAAGUUGAAGCGCGAGAGAUGAAGACGGAAGUUUGCUGAAUAAACUGCUGUUAGAAGGACUGGUGGUCAUGUCGUUCUUGCUGGUCGAGAGCGGAUGACAGUGACAGGGUCCCCACAGGUAGCCAGGCUGGUCAUGAAUUUGUCAUCCUCCUGCCUCAGCUUCGAAAGGACUCAUUUAACACACAUGUGGCAUCGUGACAGUUUGGUGUCAGGCCUCUAGCCCAGGCUGGUCUGGAACUAUGUAGUUGAGGAUGACCUUAAAUUUCUGAUCUUCCUGCUUCCAACUCCCCAGGGCUAGGAUGCAGAUGCAAACUGUCACACCUGCUUUGGGCAUUACUUGCAGCUGAAUCCAGGGCCCAUGCAGCAUAGCAUGUACCCUACCGACUAAACCACAUACACCCCAUUCCCUGGUGUCAGGGGUUUAAAGGAUGUCAGUUAAAUCAUGAAAUAAGAGGCUCAGGGAAAGGUAAAUGACUCUGUUCUCUGAGCAUCGCCACCUUUCGGCACCAAAAGAUCCUCAGAAACAUUGAGGAGCCUGUUUACCAUAGUGGUGAAGGAUCCGUAUCCUACUGCAUUCAUGAUCCAUGCUCUACCUCUGAAUUCUACCCUCAGCUCCUCACUGGGGAAUUCUAGGCAGGGGCUCUACCACUGAGCCACGCCCCUAGCCCCUCCCUGGGGGAUUCUAGGCAGGGGCUCUACCACUGAGCCAUGCCCCAGCCCUUCCCUGGGGGAUUCUAGGCAGGGGCUCUACCACUGAGCCACGCCCCCAGCCCCUCCCUGGGGGAUUCUAGGCAGGGGCUCUACCACUGAGCCACACCCUAGCCCCUCCCUGGGGGAUUCUAGGCAGGUGUUUUACCACUGAAUCCAGCCUCCUGCCCCUUACUAGGGAUUCUGGGCAAGUUCUCUACCAUUAAAUCCCUUCCUAGUAGGUUCUAGGCACACACUCCACCGCUAAGCCAAGCCUUCAGCCUGGGCUGAGUCUCUCUUUUCAAUGUACAGAAUGGGUUAAGCUGGUUGUUUGUCAGCCUGGAAAAGUGAAGUCUUCCCUGGGUGCAGUUUUAAGGCACCAUGACCUCUGUGUCCCCUCUACUGUCUCCAGAAGUCACUCCUAGGGAACUCCAGAGCUGUAAUUAUCCUGCACCUCCGCAGACAAAAGUGAUGGUUUCACUGUUGCUAUGGAAAUGCUCCCAGGAACUCAGGAUGCUGGGAAAACAGAACUCCCCAAGAUAUGAACAGAAUCCCAUAAGGUAGUUACUAUAACCGCUUCACACUGGGGCUGGGCUGGGUCAUUUCUUCUGGCUGAAGACAGGGCAAGACAGUGGAGGUACCCUGGGAGUUUUCUCAGAACCUAAGGGAUACCCAAAUCCUAGCUUCUCAUGUCCCUUACAACCAAAGCAUGGUGUUGACACACACCUCCUCCUCCCACCAUGUCUAGAUGACACAGUGUACCUGAUGCUGUGUAAAUUGUCACCCUGUAUUGAGGGACCAACAAGAAGGAAUAAAGCUGCACUCUUUGGUACAGGGGCAUGCUUUUAAGACAUCUCCAUCCAUAUCAACUGAAUCCUUGGACAGGAGACCCACAGGUAGUAUGCGGUCUAGAUCUUUGCUGCCUACUCUAGUGCUGAGUCCUGGUCUGACUUCCUGAGCAGGAAAUGGGACAGGUAUGUUUACAUGGAUUCUUCAUGUCUGUCGGCCUUUAUAUGUUAGGCUGGUCCUGCCUUAUUGUGCCUGCCAAUUUGGAGAAUUUUUUUUUUGGGGGGGGGUUAAGACAGAAUUUUUCUCUAUGUAUCCCUGGCUAUCCUGGAACUCACUCUAUAGGCCAGGCUGGCCUCGAACUCAGAGAUCCACCCGCCACUGCCUCCAAAGUGCUGGGAUUAAAAGUGUGCACCACCUCUGCCCAAUCAGCCCUGGAGAUUUCUAACCGUACGCACUGCAGCCUUUACUUACUUACUUACUCUGCACUUCAGUGUGAUCAUACUGACCAACAGCAUAAAGCACUGUGCACUCUUAGAACACGUGGUAUGGCAGUUCCCCCAUUCCACACUAGCAGAGAUCCUGGAUGGGUCCAUUAGAGUUCUUGGGGUUCCUAGGGAGCUUUGGGAUCCCCUUAUAUUAGUCACCAGCUCCUAAUAGAACACUUAAGGGUGGGAGGGGUUAGCCUGGAUCAUGGUUUCAAAGACACAGACUGACUUAAAGGAGAAGGCAAGGGAGGAGGUGACUCUAUCCAUAGUGAGGGGAGCAGAGACUGGGACCAGAAGUGGGCGCGGUGAUGCUGUAACCUUCAGAGUCCCCACCUCCACCCCCACUGUGGCAUACCUCCACCAAUCAGUGGGACUUAACAGUCCUAUAGCUUCCCCAAACAGCACCACCAUCUGGCAAUCAUCUGUUUAAGCAGAUGAUUCUGUGAGGGACGGUUCACAUUCAAACUGCGGUAUCCCCAAACACCAACCAAUGAGGUGACCAGGGGCUCUGCCACUAGCCCCACAAAUGACCAUGGUGCCCUUGGUAAAAUGAUGACAGGAAGUGAGACACAGGCUGGACCAGCCACAUGCCAGCAUUUUAUCAAUGCUGGUGCUUCCGUGGUUGCUACUCCCCAGCAGGUUCAGAGAGGCCAAGUUCAUUACUGACCACCACACAGCUAAAACACAGCAGAACCUGAACAUCAUCUGAGAAUGUCACGCCGCAGAGCCUAUGUGUCCCCAACCACCACCAUGGCCAUCUCCAGGCUCCAAGAAGGGCAUGUGGGCAUCCUCCCACACCAUGGACCCAGUGCACGGCCGCCUUGCAGCUGUUUAAUUGAGCUAUUAUCCCAGCUAAUCUCUGUGCUUCUGUUUAUUUUGGAAGUGGGCACUGCUAAAUGCAGCCCGGGCACUCUUUAUUUAGUGCGGGCAAGGAAGUGAUUACUGAAAGGAG